AAACUUUCAACAACGGAUCUCUUGGUUCUGGCAUCGAUGAAGAACGCAGCGAAAUGCGAUAAGUAAUGUGAAUUGCAGAAUUCAGUGAAUCAUCGAAUCUUUGAACGCACAUUGCGCCCGCUAGUACUCUAGGCGGGCAUGCCUGUUCGAGCGUCAUU
rnacentral:rRNA from 1 species